GGGCUGGUAGCUCAGUUGGUAGCAGCACUCGCCUCUUAAGCGAAGGGUCGUGGGUUCGAAUCCCACCCAGCCCACCA
rnacentral:tRNA from 1 species